CUGAUUUGGACUCCACGCUCACCCCUCUAAACAGAGGUAUCAAAGAUGCCACUGACAGCAAAAUACUGGUGCCAAGGAACAACGAGACUCCACCGUCAGAUAUCUGAGCAAACAGAUCCUGACCCUUGGCUAGCUCCACUGCCAGAGCUGAAACAAACCCCACCAUUGCAAGCCUGCCGUUGAUCCUCUCUGGGGCUGGCCCACUGAACGCAAACACGUCUGAAAACUUAGUGCUAAUCUUAGGACUACGUUUAGGAGGAGGAGUAGGUGUAGGAGGUGGUGGAGGAAUUUUAGAUGCCUCUGGUGCUGUAGAUGGUUGCUCUUCCUGACCAUUCUGCAAAUUAAACAUUAAUUAAACAUGGUUAAUUAGGAUCGCUAAUUUAAGAAUGCGCAAAACCUAAAUGACCAAGCUAAUGGCAGUGUGUCAGUCCUUUUGAUCGCCUCUCCGUACAUUAGAAUAGUUUAGAUUUUCGUUCUGUCAGAAAAACAGAAACAAAAGAAGAUUAAUUAAUUACCUCGGCCAUGGAUCGCACCCUCAUGUUAGGGUACCUAUGCAGAGUUGGAGCAUACUUGGCAGGAAGAAGGUGGUUCACCCUCAGAGAUUUGCUCUUUCCAGCUCCAUAAGCCACUGAGUUAGCUAGAAGUGAUUGCACGGAAGCUGAGGCAGCCAUUGUUUGUAUUGUGUAAUAUUUGUUAAGCUGAUGUCAAGAAGGCAGAAAAUACUUUGAAGAUGUUUUUGGUUUUUGAUCUUAGGUUGCCAAAGAGUUAGGGUUUUAUAGUGCAAUGGCCCAAAGAGUGGGAAGCAUAUGGACGGUGGUUAUUUUGGCACCUCGUCGCUCAUUUUUCCUUUCUCAGUGAUACUCUGCCGCGUGGGUUGUCUUGUCCACACAUGGUGUGUUUGAGAGACGUGGCUGCGGCACACACCACAACGUACGAGUCAGUGAUUUCUGAGGCCACAUCUUCACUUCUUUUUUCUUUUGAGCGAAAGAGAGAGACCGAUGCCUCACGGGUCCACGAGUGCCUUUGAAAUUGAGGUUUUUUCAGAUACAAUUGCACUUGGACUAGAGGACGAAUAUCUUUUGCUUCAUUUUCGUCAGAAAGAAAGAAGAUUACUUACUUGCUCACUCUCUCGGUCACUUGCAUUAUUGCAUUUGUUUGAUAGCUUAGGCUUUAGCUAGGAGAUGAGAUCUGGAGCUUUGUUGGCAUUCAUGUACGGUUGUCUUGUCCAUACAUGGGGGUAUGAAGACGUGGCUCCCCAAACACACCACAAUUUUCCAGUUAGUGAAUUCUGAGGUCCCAUAUUUGUUGAAGGUUUUCACUUCCUUUUUUGUUUUUGUUUUUCCUUUUAAUAUAUUUUCAGCGUAAUGUAGCUAGGCACAAUUGCAUACAUAAUACAUUGGGUCAGCUGCAAUUCAUUAUUUCACACUGUAUUCUGCUGUAUGAGUUGACACUAUAUCUCUGUUUUGGAUGCUAAUUUAUGGACCACUAAAUGCAGUUGCGGAUAUAUCCUUAAAUUGUGAGGAAUUAAUUUAAAAUUUAAAUACUUAUCAACCAACAAAGAAUCUGAGUACUAGAUAUUUGGGCUCCUUUGGUUCGCAAAUUGUACUCCAUGGGAAUAAACUUUCCAUGUUUAAUUCUAUGAGAGAGGAAUUGAGGAAUUGAGGAUGUUCAUUCCCAUGUUUGAGAACGUUAGGAAAUAAGAAUUAGGAAAUGGCAUUUUCUCUCAUUACCUUGUUUGGUUAGUGCAAUAUUAGGAUUGAUGAAAAGUUGUUUAUUAUUAAAGUUAUUAAUAUGAAGAUUUUUGAAGAGUUAAAAGUGGUAUUUGAAAAUAAUAUCAUGGGUAAGUUAGUCCAAAAAAACUGCAUUAAAUGUUUUCCAAGUGAUGAGGUAAAAAAAAGUUUCCCAAGGUGAACCAAGGGUAUGAAAUUCCCUCAUACAUGGGAAAUUCAUACCCAUGAGUCCAUAAUUGCAUUCCCAAGAGUGCACUCACUAAACAUGGGCAUUCAAUUUGAAACUCAUUCCCAAGCUCCUAAACCUUUUACCAAACAGGCUUAGAGCAUCACAAUGGUAGUGUGUAAAGGUGGAUGUAUGCUAAAUUUACACCUAUGCCCACCGAAAUUUGCUGCAGUGGGUGAAUGUAAAGUCCUGUAUAUUUACGCCGGCCACUGGAGAUGCAUAAAAAGAUACUAAUUUACAUCAUUUUUUACACCCAUGUUGCAAAUAUACAUCGUUGGAUAUACAUCUUCCUCAGAGCAUCUCCAUUGCAAAGGUGUAAAAGGAGAUGUAAAAGACAUUUACACCCAGAGUUGUCGGAAGUUGCUCUAAGAGCAUGUCCACCGCUGCACCAAACUUGGGCAAAAGGCCCCCCUGGCAGCCCAUUCCAGCUCCAGCGCAACAAUGAGCCAGGGCAAAUGGUGGGUCCCACCAGCCUGGGCAAGCCCACGGGCUAAUCCUGCUUGGGCUGUUGCCCUCGGGCUGCUGACGUCAGCGGUUGAUUUUCAAAUUUUUUUUUUACUGUUGGACCCACCAGCCCACAUUGCCUAAUGGUUACAAGCCAUGUGACUUCUCCUGUAGCCUUCAAUAAAAAAAUCUUGCACAAUCCAACGGUUGUCCAAUUUUUGGCUUAAAAAAAUUAAAAAAAAUUUAAAAAAAAAUCAAAAAAUUCUGGAAAUUUUUUCUAUACAUGCCUACCAAUAUUAUUCACUUUCCACACCAAUUUAAUUUCAAAAUUUUAUCCGAAAAUGUUAUCUUGAUUUUUAGGUGAGGAUUUUACAAUAAAUAUUAACACUUGGGAAUUGAAAAUCUUAUCCGAAAAGCUUAUCAAAAUCAAUGGUUUAAGUAUAAAAAAUAAAUUUAAGUGAAUAGUAAUUGCCUUAGACUUGCCCUAAACUUAGCCCUCAUGGAUGGAACCACAAAUGGCAAGCCUGACACUAUUCACAUGAAUAGUAACAGCCAUUGCUUGCCCUUGCCCUAGACUUAGCCCUUAUGGGUGGAGAUGCUCUAAUGGUAGGGUGUAAAUGAAUGCAAAUAUAGGAUUUGGCCCAAAAAUGUUAAUAUAAAAUGAAUAAAUAAAUAAAUAAUAAUAAAAAAGGACAUUUACAUAUGAUUUUACAUUCUCAUUUGAUGGGCCCCACAUGUUGAAAAGGAGGAGAGAUAAUGCAAAAGUGGUGGGCUCCAAACAUAUAAAAGGUGAGAUCGCACCAAAAUACCAGAAAUAUCAUUUUGUUUCAACUUGAUAUAAAAUCAUUUCCUUUCAUUUCCUUUUUACAUCUCCAAUCUACAUCUAUUCCAUUAGAGAUAAAACAACAUUUAAAUCUUCUUGAGGUGAAAAUGAGAUGUAAAUGUGGUUUUACACCUCCAAUUUACACGUCUUGCAAUGGAGAUACUUUUAUUGGAGCAAAAAUCAUAUUUACAUUCCCUAGAAGUGUAAAGUGAAUAUAAAAGUAGCUUUACACCCCAAAAUUUACACACCAUCAUUACAGAUACUCUUAUAGGUCUGGAAUUCAAACAGUCCCUUAAACUACCAAACCUUGCAUAGCUUCCUAGCAGUCACAAUCCACACUAGUUUGCCCUUCUUUGUUGUGCCUUAGUUUCUCAGAGGACUUUUAGCAAAUAUUUCCCCUCAUAGCAUACCUUACUCAAGAUGGAACAUGUAGCAAAAAGGACAAGUAGGGACAAUAGCCUUCAUUCGUCCUCAAGUGAAAUAUGUUGAAGAUUGAAUGUGUAUUUUAUCAUCAAACAUUCCAUAAAUAAGAGAAAUUAAGAUGAAAUUUGUUUCUGUUAUGAUCAAGGAAAUCACCAAUGUUCUACUUAAUGGGUGUUUGCAUUCCCAGUAUAAAUGGCAUUAUUUUGGAGAAGCUGUUUAUAUGUUUAAGAUGAGAAACCUCUUCCUUGUAAAUUCCUUCAAUCUGAUUAUGACUUUGAGUAAAAGGGCAUAUUUAGUGAUGUGCACUUGUAUUGCAAUGGGGGCCUCCUAUCCAUCUAACUUGAUUUGAGGAAAGUUUUAGGUAAAUCUAAAAUUUGGGAUGACUUCGGGAAACCCCAUAGGGAAGAGUACUUCAAUGGUAUAGGUCAAAUCCUUCCCAAAUCUUUUUGAAUGUUUCCAACUUAUCCCAAAAGCAUUCUCUCCAAAGCUUUUAUACUUCAAAACUUUGGAAAAUUUUGUACAUGAUUUGCCCUCGAGAGGUGACAUAUCUUUAUGCUAAUAAAUUAAAAGUAGAUUAGAUUCAGAAGUAUCAAAAUGCGAUGAAAUUCUUAUAAACUUUUGUAAGCACUAAAUAAGUAUACAUGUGGAAGACUUUUACAAGGCCGGAAAUGAUUGAGACCUAAACUAGAGUCCCUCCCGUCACAUAUUCAGUGAAGGCCAAAGCUACCAGACCUAACAUGGCCAACCUUCCAUUCAACAACUCAGCAUCGGACGUCAUUAUCCCAUCUGAUUUCGACUCCACGCUCACGCCUUUAAACAAAGGAAUCAAAGAUGCCACUGACAGCAAAAUACUAGUGCCAACGAACAACGAGAAUCCACCGUCGGAUAUCUGGGCAAACACAUCCUGUCCUUUGAAUAGCUCCACUGCGAGGGCUGAAACAAACCCCACCAUUGCAAGCCUGCCGUUGAUUCUCUCCGGGGCUGGCCCACUGAAUGCAAGCAAGUCCGAAAUUUUUGUGCUAACCUGCCAUAAAGAAAGAAAAUAUGUGUCACCUCUUGAAUGCCAUUUUCCACGAUUAAAAUAACUAUUUAGAUAUUAUUUUUUUCCUUUCUUUUGUUAACGGGUUAAUUAAUUUAAAGUCAAACAACAUAACAUAUGGAACAAUUUAACGAUAUAAUAAUUCUCGAACCGCAGAUGUUAGACAACUACCUUUGAAGGAAAAGGUGUAUUAGAUGGUGGUGGAUUUUUUGAUGCAUUUGUUACUGUAGAUGGUUGCUCCUUCUUACCAUCCUAAAAAUCAGAGAUAAAUCAGACAUAGUUUAAUUAGUAUCAUUAAUUUAAAACUUAUAAGCACUAUAGCUGAAGGUGCAAAUAUAAAUCAAAAGACAUACACAUUCUAGAGAGACUUGUUAAUUAUAAUUAAUUACCUUGACCAUUGAGCGUACCCUCAUGUUAGGGUACCUAUGCAGAGCAGGCACUGAAAAUGGACCAACUGAUUUGUUAUUUCCGGCUCCAUAAGCCACCGAGUUAUUAGCUAGGAAUAUUGAUUGCAUGGAAGAUGAUGCUGCCAUUGUAUUUGUAUCUGUAUUUCUUAAACACAAAAAAUGGACCAACUUAGGAAAUUGAUGCUGCAGCAAAGAUUUGAGUAGAAGCUAUUUGGAGAUGUUUGUGCUUGAGAUCUUGAUAUCAAAAUUGUAUCUUUUGAGUGCCUUUUUAUAGUGUAAUGGCCCUAGUGGAGGGAAGCUCUUGAGCGGUGUACAAUUUGGCACCACGUCACUUAUUUGCUCGAUGAGUGCCAAGAGGACUAAUAAUAAUGUUGGGAGAAUCGAUAGACUCUAAGGAAUAUAAAACUCGUUACAUGUAAAUUUUUCUCAACUUAAAAAAGAGACGUGGUUGUAUUCUGAGGUCACAUUUAAUUUGGUCAAGGUGUUGAACAAUUUUUUUGAUCUUUUGGGUAGGAGGAGCGAUGUUUCACGAGGCCACGAGUACUUUGAAGCCUUCAGCUAGAGGACAAUUGCACUACACAACGGAUCAUUUGCUUCAUUUUCGUCAGAAAGGAGAAUUUUUUUAUGUCGACAAAAUAAAAAGAAAAUAUUAUUUUGUUGUCGUCGACCUUGCAUUUGUUCGAAAGCUGGCUAGGAGGAGAGCUUUGUGGUGGGUAUUUAUCCUCGUCUUUGUCCAUGGUAAUGAUGAGGGAUGUGGGUCCCCGCACACACCACAACGUACCAGUCAGUGACUCAGUUCUUUUAUCGUUUCAGUGUGUAGCUAGUCACAGUUGCAUUACAUGCAACACAGAAGGAAUCUUAGCUGCAUUACUAUUCUAUUGAAUGUGUAUUUUAACAAAUAUAAUAAUUUUUUGAAACAUCAAGCGUACGCAUUUGAUAAAUAAGCAGAAAAUGGAAUGAGAUAUAUAUCUUUCGGUAAACACCAGAAGAACUUUGUAUAUUUCUGGUGAGGAAAAUGCUAAGGUUGGUGGCAUUUGGGUGCAUGACCAAUUUCUACAAUAACUUACCCACAUACAUAUUGGCGGGUAUUCGUAGGAUUUUUUUUUCUAGAGCAUUUCCAAUUCAAAAGGUAACAUACUCAAAUUUUGCAUUUCAAAAUGAAACUAUUCGUUUAUACACAAUGUCUCUAUUCAUCCCUAAUAAAUUGGGAUCAAUUCUAUAUUGUACAAAUUUAGUUUUAGGCGUGCCAUUAUUGGUACUAGAAAGCCCAAUAGAAAUAGUGUGAUUCAGACCGAAAAUAAUGUGAAUGUCUUGCGAAUUAAGACUACCUGACCUUGAGCCCAUAGUAACCUUGUUGCUAGUUCUGCCAAUGAAGUGAAAGCAAGAAGGUUGUUGAGAAACUUGAGACCAAGGUGAUCAAGUUUGAAAUCUGUUUGAGAGAUUGAGUGUCUCCCCUUGGACCUCAAUUUUUUUGAUUAUAUAGUGCCAGUUGAUGGCAUAGUGACGUCAAGAGAAGUAAAUUGGUUAAUAGGGAGCAACCACCCAUCAAUCCUUGUCGAAAUUAAGCAAGCUAGAUUGGCUUCGGAAUGAUGAAGAUAAACAAAAUAUCCAAUAGUUUGGGUAGGAUUUGAUUUUAGACAUAAACUCUGAAGAGCAUUUAAUGCUUCCCUUAAUCUUAUCUUUGCAAGCUAAACCCACGUGAAGCAAUGGAGGCAAGAAAGAUCCUUUCUGAUAAUUUGGACCGACUCCCACGUGGCCACCGUUCGGAUUUCUAUUGGGUAUUUAAAUCUGCACCGCCCAAUCCUUUCCUUUUGAAAACAAAGCUCCAAGCCUACUUGUGCCGUUUAUAUUCUUUUAUAUGGCAUGUUUACUUACCAACAAUGUAUAUGGGAAGAAAUAAAAUAGAAUAAAAGGAAUAUGAAUUAGAUCAAUUAGAAAAGGAUAGUUAAUUCAAUUCCCAUGGGGAUAUUUGAUGGAGUAUUUUUCGAUAGAACUCGUGUAUUAAAUAAUUCCUUAUGUGUAAAUAAACACAUGAAAAUACAUGAAUGGAAAGCUUAUUGUCAAUGACUAUUGUUUUGUUGUUGGAAUAAUCAGUAACCAUUGUGAACAUGUCUUUGUGCUGAUAAAUUAAGAGUAUAUUAGAUUCUGAAGUAUCAAAAUGUGAUGAAAUUCUUAUAAGCAUUUGUAAUAACUAAAAUACGUAUACAUGUAAAAGACUUUUACAAGGCAUAUUAAGCCAAAGAAAAAAACACCGGAAAUGAAUGAUUGAGACCUAAACUAGAGUCCCUCCCUUCACAUACUCAGUGAAGACCAAAGCUACCAGACCUAACAUGGCCAGCCUUCCAUUCAACAGCUCAGCAUCUGACGUCAUGAUCCCAUCUGAUUUGGACUCCACGCUCACCCCUUUAAACAGAGGAACCAAGGAUGCCACAGAGAGCAAAAUACUAGUGGCAACGAACAAAGAGACUCCACCGUUGGAUAUCUGAGCAAACACAUCUUGGCCAUUGGAUAGUUCUACUGCCAGAGCUGAGACAAACCCCACCAUUGCAAGCCUGCCGUUGAUUCUCUCUGGGGCUGGCCCACUGAAGGCAAACAAGUCCGAGAACUUUGUGCUAACCUGCCAUAUAUACUGAACUUCGUUAGUGUAGGUAUAUUAUAUAUUGUGAAUAUACACACGUGUAGAUUAGUAAAACUACCUUGGGAGGAGGAGAAGAAGGAGAAGGUGGAGGAACUUUUGAUGCAUUUGUUACUGUAGAUGGUUGCUUCUUCUGACCAUCCUACAAAUGGGAGAUGAAUUAAUAUAAUUAAUACACAUAUGCAUUAUAGCUAGAGCCUUAUGAAUAUACAUACCUUGGCCAUCGAGCUUACCCUCAUCAUGUGAGGGUAGCUACGCAGAGUUGGUGCAACAAGGUGGCUCACUCCAACAGAUUUGUUCUUUCUCGCUCCAUAAGCAACGGAGCUAGCAAGAAAUAUUGAUUGCAUGGAAGAUGAUGCAGCCAUUGUAUUUGUGUAUAUGCUUCUCAAUUCAACACUAAUAAAACAGACACAAUAGAUUUGAAGGCUUUGCUUGUGUUAUUGAUCUUGUGUAUUAUAAAUUUGUAUGCCUUGAGUGACUUUUUAUAGCUAGUUGGGGAAGUUCUUUGAUUUGAGCGGUGUAUAGUUUGGCACCACGUCACUAUUUGCUUUCCCACUAAUGAUGGGCCGUGUAUGGAAAAUAGUUUAGCAAUAGUCCUUUUUGUCUACCUCUCAUUCUUUUCUAUAACUCAUCGGUUAUAAAAAGAGUCGACAUAUUCAAAAAAAUAUACACCGUUACAUAUAAGUUUUUCUCUAUGCAUAACGUAGCUGCAGGAUUUACCGCAUGUUACUAGUCGGUGUGGUCAUGUCAAUUUGUCAAGGCUCUACACCUUUUUUUAAAAAUAAAUGAAAAAAAAAAAAAAAAUCAUUUGAGGACCGAUGCCUCACAGGGCCACGAGUAUUUUAGUAGUAGUUGACAAAAUUCCCCUUCCCUGUCAAUGGAUCUUUUUGGCUUAUAUUUUCAUGAGAAAGAAAAACAAUAUAGAUGAUUACAUGGUGGUACGAGGGACGUGGCCAAACACACUACAACGUCCCAGUCGGUGAUUUCAUGAGGUCCCUUUUGUUCCAGGUAUUCAUUUUUUUCAUCUUUGUAAUGUAGCUGAUAGCGUGGCACUUGCAUGCACAACACAAGGAAUCUUACGUGUGUAUAUUCUUCUGUUUCUGUAUGUGUAUUUGACGCUGCAUUUUUCUUAUGUGUAUAUUACUAAUAGAAAAUUAGAUAUUAACCCUAAAAUUUAAACAUUCAUUUAGAUCAUGUUCAUGGGUCAGUUGAUUUCUUGAGAUAUAUUAUUUGACUUUUCUCAAUACCCAUACUACCCCCAAUAAUAUCUGUUUUUUAUUUGACACUAUAAUAAUUCUUUGAAACAUCCAACGUUUGAUAAAUAAGCAGAAGAUGGAAUGAUCUUUUUUAUUUUUUAGUAAAGACAAGAUGGAAUUUGUUAUUUUUAUGGUUAGGAAAAAAUGCUAGGAUUGGAAGAAUCAUCUAAAUCCCAAGAUUUGGAAUCAACCAAUGGACCCUUAAUCAUUCCUAUAUACUUGGACAAAUGCCUACAUAUAUGCCCCGUAUGAUGGUAUUAUUUAUAAGAAGAAUCUCGGAGGAGAAGAAAUUGACAUAUUUUUACGAGGGUUAAUUACAUUUUUUUAAUUAAGCAAACUGACAGAAUUGAGAUAUUGGAUUGGAUUUGCUUACUAAUAAUGCUAAUACAAUGACGAAAUCAGGAAAAUUCAAAUUACAAUGACCAAAUUUGAUUUCAAGCCAAACUCCAGUGAUCAAAAAUGUAAUUAACCCUUUUUACAAUGUAACAAGCGAUUAAGACCAAAAUUUGUAAAUUGAGAGAUACCACACUGUCCAGUUCACAUUUUUUAGGUGUUCUUAUUUUCACUGAUUAUAAUGGGCUGAAGCUAGUAUGACAUUUCCUAAUUGGAAAUUUUUUCUUGAGUGAAGCUAUUGUCCUUAGCUAUUUUAUGAUAACUAGAUCCAUUUUCCUUUUCCACGUACUAAAACUGCCAAAUGACUCAAAUUCUCUACAAUUCAACGUACUCUGACUUGGGAGAUAGUUAUAAUUAGGUCCAUAGCACAUUUAGGUCCAUGCCCUUUGCUGUCUCUAUGUAUGUGGAUAUCAUUCAUUUCUAUGUGUGCAUAUUAGGUUAAGUUUGGAGUAACCAAACUCACAUGGGAGAUCCCUCUACUUUAAAUUCAACCUAGUCAUCUGGCAAAACAUGUUUUUCUUCUUAUUAUUGAUGUGGUGGCAUCAACAUUAUUCGGUUCUUGACAUUGACAAAUUUUCUGUCAAAUUAAGAGUAUAACCAUUGUAAACAUAUCUUUAUUCUUAUAAGCAUUUGUAAACACUAAAUAAGUAUACAUGUGAAAGACUUUUACAAGGCAUAUUAAGCCCCAAAAAACAAAACACAUGUUUACAAGGCAUUAAGCUUAAAAAACACCGGAAAUCAUUGAGACCUAGACUAGAGUCCCUCCCUUCACAUACUCAGUGAAGACUAAAGCUACCAGACCUAACAUGGCCAGCCUUCCAUUCAACAGCUCAGCAUCUGACGUCAUGAUCCCUUCUGAUUUGGACUCCACGCUCACCCCUUUAAACAGAGGAACCAAGGAUGCCACGGAGAGCAAAAUACUAGUGGCAACGAACAACGAGACUCCACCGUUGGAUAUCUGAGCAAACACAUCUUGGCCAUUGUAUAGUUCUACUGCCAGAGCUGAGACAAACCCCACCAUUGCAAGCCUGCCGUUGAUCCUCUCCGGGGCUGGCCCACUGAAGGCAAACAAGUCCGAGAACUUUAUGCUAGCCUGCCAUAUAGAAAGAAAUAUAUAUGUCACCUGUCCCACAUGCAUCAUAUAAUGCCAUUUUCCAUGACGAAAAUAAUAAGAAAACUUGUUUGCAGUGACCAGAUAUAUUCAUUAACUUGGUCGUAAACUAGUUAUAUAGAAAUUCCGUCCUGAUUGCCUAUGUGAGGGCAAUGUUUUCUUCCUAAAAUCAGACAUGUGAUUGAGUUAAAUUUCAAAUUUAAACGACAUUUUAUUAGCACAGUUAAUUAACAAUCAAACAACAUAACAUGCUAACUACAUGCGUACUUUAGAAGGAAGAGGUGUAAGAGGUGGUGGUGGGCUUUUUGAUGCAUUUGUCACAGUAGAUGGUUGCUCCUUCUGACCAUCCUACAAAUGAAGGACAAAUCAGACAUAGUUCAACUAGGAUAUCAUUAAUUUAUAGCUGAAGAUGAUCAUAUAUCAAAAGACAAGCACGUAAUAUAUAUGUUAACGUUAAACCAGCUAGAGAGAUUUGUUAUAAUUAAUCACCUUGGCCAUUGAGCGUACCCUCAUGGGAGGAGAGUACCUAUGCAGAGCAGGCACUGAAAUAACUCCAACACAUUUGUUCUUUCCCGCUCCAUAAGCCACGGAGUUAGCAAGAAAUAUUGAUUGCAUGGAAGAUGAUGCAGCCAUUGUAUUUGUGUAUAUGCUUCUCAAUUCAACACUAAUAAAACAGACAGAAUAGAUUUGAAGGCUUUGCUUGUUUAUUGAUCUUGUGUAUUAUAAAUUUGUGUGCCUUGAGUGGCUUUUUAUAGUAGGGUAAUGGCCCUAGUUGAGGGAAGCUCUUCAGCGGCGUGUAGCUGUGCCACGUGGCAAAUGACGGAUUGGAAAAUAGUUUAGUAAUAGUCUUGUCGGUCUGUCUGUCUGUCUCCUCUUCUUCCACAACUCAUUACGUUAUGAGAUGAGUCGAUCGACAUACUCAAGGAAAUAUACACCAUUACGUGUAAAUUUUUCUUUAUACAGGACGUGGCUGCGGCACUUACCGCAACGUUAGUAGACCGUAGACGGUGGUCCCGUUAAUUUGUUCAAGGUCUUCAAUUUUUUUUAAUCCUUUGUGGCUCUCCCACUUGUCGCAUGCAUUUGUUGGAUAGCUUGGAGCUUGGACAUUUUUUGUUGUCUUGUCCUUGUCCAUACACUGUGGUACGUACGAGAGAAGUGGCUCGGGGCUCGGAGCUCGGAGCUUGAAUUUGUUAUAUUUAUGAUGAGGAAAUCAGUUGUAGUAGUCCUCUUAUGAUGAUCAAGGGAAUUAUUAAUGUUUAGAUUCAAAUUUGUGGCUAUUAAGCUCCAUUUGGAUGGAGGUAUUUGAAAUACAUGAUUUGGACAUGACAACAAAGCUAUUUUUUUAUAAAUAAAAUAAAAAAUAUUUUAAAACAAAAGAUUAAAUUUAUUUGAAAUAACUAGGUAUUACAUUUAUUUAGAAUGAUUUUGAAAUGACUAUAUAUGCAAGGAGUUAUUUGGAAUUUUUUUUGUAUUCUUCAUGUUCGGCUUAUUCAAAAUCUUAAUAUGCAUGAAUUAUAUAGUAAACAAACAAUUUAACCUUAUAAUCAGGCCCAGCCCACAGGCUGUGUGGGCUUUGUGGGCUGAGCAACGACACAGGGCCCCCAAAAAAUGGAGCCUCCUGUAUUGUAACACCUUUUAGCCCAAGAGAUAUAAUAGCAAAAAUGUCUUUUUUGUGUAUAACUAAUACAUUUUGAGCUUUAUUCUAAAUUUUUGUGGACCUUUUUCUUUACUUUUCAUAUAGUGAACCUCUUUUACAUAAAUUAACAAACUUAAGUUUGAAACUGUUAUUUUAGUUUUUGUUCAAAAUAAGGUAAAUAUUGAACAUAAAAGGACUCCAUUUUUAUUUUUAUCCAGGGCCUAUGAAAUUAACGGACCGGCCCUCCUUAUAAUGCUAUUUAAAUCCCAAGAUUUGGAAUCAACCAAAUGAACCAUUAAUCAUUCCUAUUUGCAUGAAUGCUUACAUAUAUGCCCCGUAUGAUGGUAUUAUUUGUAAAAAUAGUUUUGGAGGAGAAGAAAUUGGCAUUUUUACAAUGUGAAAGACUUUUACAAAGGAUUAAGACCUUAAUUACACAAGUGUCCCUCCAGUCACAUACUCGGUGAAGACUAAAGCUACCACCAGACCUAACAUGGCCAAACUUCCAUUCAACAACUCAGCAUCUGACAUCUGAUUUUGACUCCACGCUCACUCCUUUGAACAGAGGUAUCAAAGAUGCCACUGUUAGCAAAAUACUAGUGCCAACGAACAACGAGACUCCACCGUUGGAUAUCUGAGAAAACACAUCCUCGCCCUUGGAUAGCUCUACUGCCACAACAGGGGAAAUAAGCUUUACUAAAGGAGAAAUAUCAACUGGUAGCUCUACCUCUACGCCCCAGCAAGGAUACCCUCCCCACAAAAUAGGAGACCAACAGAAACCAAAGACAGAGGUGGCUGAUCGGCCCAACUUUCCAGUUCUGUAUUUAUGAGUAUAUUUGGUCCCACAUUAGCAUGACAAGAAUGUUUGUCAUAAAACAGAGGAUGUUUUUAGUAAUAAGCUUUAUUGGCCUUCUUCAACUAGAAAGUGUUUAGUGUCUAGUGUUUAGGCUUAUUGGCCUCCUUCCUAAUUUUGGCUUAUUGCCCUUUAUCACUAGCUUGAUUACAAACGGAAAGCUUAAUGCCUAUUUAUAGAGGGAACAAACCAAGUAGUAAAAUCGGUUAUUCUAGUAAACCGACAUUAACUUGUAAUUCCAGCCACAUAUUGUAGCUUCAAUUGAGUUAGUGACUAGUGUUUAGGGAAUAGACUUUGCAUAAAUUAUUCUAGAAAAUUCUCUGCUAGCUUGUAGAAGUCUCCACCAAAUGUGCAUUAUUUUUCAACAACUUAUAAACUGGUUCAAGACUUUUCAACCUUAAUGACUUCAGAGUGAUAAACACGAAAUAAACUACUUGUAGAAUAAGUUAUGAUCAAAGACGAUAAACUUGACUUCAAGUCAUUACAUUAAUGGAAGAGGGUCCGUGCAUAUGGAAUCUGCUCCGCGAACAAGAAUGUGUGUGGUGAUGAUGAUCAAUGACUUAUAAUCUGGUUCAAGACUUUUCAACCUAAAUAACUUUAGAGUGAUAAAUACGAAAUAAACUACUUGGUUUCUCUCUCUUCUUUCAUAAUUCAUCACACACGUUAUUGUGAGAAAAGUCGACGUACUCAAAGAAACAUAUACCGCAUUACAUGUAAGUUUCUCUCAUUGAAAUGCGACGUGGUUAUGUUUCUCUCAUUGUAACGGACGUGGCUGCAGCACAUACAUAUGCGCGCUAGUCAGUGGUGACAUUAAUUUGUUCAGGGUCUUCACUUUUUUGAUGCUUUGAGCAGGACGGCCGAUGUCUCACGGGGCCACGAGUACGUUAGUAAUAGCAGUCAAACUGGCCCUUCCCUGUCAUUGAAGAAAAAAUACAGAUGAUUACAUAUACGUGCUCUGGCUCUCUCACAGUCAGUUGCAUUUGUUCGAUAGCUUGGAGAGCCUUAUGGACAUUUUUUGUUGUGUUGUCCAUACAUGGUGGUACGAGGGACGUGGCUCCCCAGACACAGCACAACGUCUCAGUCACUGAUUUCUGAGGUCCCAUUUGUUCAAGGUUUUCACUUUGUAUUGUAGCUUGGCACUUGCAUAUGCACAACACAAAGAAUCUUAGCUGUAUGCACGGAUUCUUAUGGAACAAAGCUACUAAGCUAGUGUGACAUUUCGUAAUUGGAAAAAUUGAGUGAUUAGCUUAAUAAGUUGAGUGACAUUUCGUAAUUGGCCCCAAUAAAUUCAUGUUAAUUUCACUGCGGGGUAUGAUAUAUUAGCCUAAAAGGCAUCCAAAGUGAUUUUUCAGAAAUUGUUUUUAUGAUCCAGAAAUACUUUAAAGUUAUUUUUUUCUUAUUUUGCCAACCCAUAUUACUUUUGGUUGCUUUUAAUCCUUUCAAAAUCAAUCCCAAUAAAGACACGUAGAUCAAUAUCACACCACACCACACCUACCUUACUCCUUGGAUGCCCUUCUUUCGGAUAUAAUUCUUUUCUAGGUGUAUACGUAUAAGGUUGGGUUUGGAGUAAUCAAACUCACAUGGAAGAUCCCUAUUUUAACAUGGUCAUCAAGCAACAUGUGUUUGUUUUUUUUUUCAAUAUUGAUGUGCGUAAUUAAGAAUUUUUUAACAGGUGGGCUAACUAAAUUUUAUUAUUAAUUUAAUAAUUAUUUUUUGAUGGAAACUUUUUUUUAAUAAUUAUUUUUUGAUACUUACAGUUUCUAUAGUUUUUUUUAGAAAUAAAUGUAUACAUUAAAUCACAUAAAUCAUGCUAAUUGUAAACACAAUAAUAAUAAAAAUUGAAAUUAGAGCCAUAUUAUUCACAAAAUGGUGAAUUUUAUUUAUAAAAAUGCUUCUCUUUUAGAGAUAAAUUAAUGAAAAAAUUAUUAAAAUUGAUGUUGGCACAAUCACCAAAUACAAACGUGGAAGACUUCUGGCUAUAUAUAUGCCUAUUGGUGUAGAUAAUGUAUGAAAUUGUAUAUUUAUUUAUUUAUUUUUGGAUUAAAAUACUGAGCUAUAUAUAGGUUUUUUUUUUCCUUUCCCAAAAACCUUCCCUGGGCUACAGCCCAUGGCGGCAUCAAUGUUUGAUACUUGAGAGAGACUAAUUAAGCAUUAUCUUUAGGCUUAAUGAUAUUAAGGGUAUGCAUAUUAAGAUCAUGGAGUAUGAAAAUUGUGAUAUUCUUAUAAAGAUUCGUACAGACUAAUUACAUGUGGAAAAGUUCUACAACAAUGAUUAAGACCUACACUAGGGUUCCUCCCUUCACAUACUCAGUGAAGGCCAAAGCUACCAGACCUAACAUGGCCAACCUUCCAUUCCACAGCUCAGCAUCUGAAGUCAUUAUCCCAUCUGAUUUCGACUCCACGCUCACCCCUUUGAACAGAGGAAUCACAGAUGCCACCGAUAGCAAAAUGCUUGUGGCAAGGAACAAGGACACUCCACCGUCGGAUAUCUGAGCAAACACAUCCUGCCCCUUGGAUAGCUCCACUGCCAGAGCUGAAACAAACCCCACCAUUGCAAGCCUGCCGUUGAUCCUCUCUGGGGCUGGCCCACUGAAUGCAAACACAUCGGAGAACUUUGUGCUAACCUUAGGACUACGCUUAGGAGAAGGAGUAGGUGUAGGAGGUGGUGGAGGAAUUCUAGAUGCCUCUGGUGUUGUAGAUGGUUGCUCUUCCUGACCAUUCUGCACAUGAAACAUUAAUUAAUCAUGGUUCAUUAGGAUCACUAAUUUAAUUACUACAGCUAAAACUGCACAUAACCCAAAAGACAAAUACAAUUCAGGCACCAAG
rnacentral:lncRNA from 1 species